rnacentral:rRNA from 1 species
UUGGCGGACGGGUGAGUAACGCGUGGAUAACCUGCCGUAUACAGGGGGAUAACACCUGGAAACAGGUGCUAAUACCGCAUAAGCGCACGGUCCCGCAUGGGACAGUGUGAAAAGCUCCGGCGGUAUACGAUGGAUCCGCGUCUGAUUAGCCAGUUGGCGGGGUAACGGCCCACCAAGGCGACGAUCAGUAGCCGACCUGAGAGGGCGGACGGCCACAUUGGGACUGAGACACGGCCCAGACUCCUACGGGAGGCAGCAG